GUGUUCAAAAAGCAUCGAACCUUUGGUCAGCACAAAUACAUUUAUUGAUUAGGAGGUACAAAACCCUAAUCCCCUUCAAAGUAGUUUCCUUGGUAAUGCACACACUUCUCAGAGCUCACCCGCCAUUGUUGGAAACUCUUCUGGAACGCGUCUUUUGGAAUGGUGAUCAGCCGGGCCGUCGAAUUCCGCAUGAUGUGAUUCUCUCGACUCAA
rnacentral:lncRNA from 1 species